rnacentral:lncRNA from 1 species
CAGUUAAAAUACUAAAUUGAUUGAAAUAACUUCUUCAUUUAUUAUUUUCUCAGCGGCCAUGCUUCACAGCAUCAGAACCGAUCAGUACCAGCAGCGAUAUCCACCCUGACCACAUCAGUGACCUCUUCGGAAGGAAGUGCUGAUUGUCUAGGGGGAGCUGGUAGCCUACGCGCCUGGUACAGACUCGGCCCAGGCUGCCUGCUGACACUCAAACGGCAGAGUGCAAGAAGAUUCACAAGGUGCCUUGAUGAUCCGCCUGACAGCCGGUCACAGAGGAGCCUAGGACUAACAGGCACAAAAAGGACGACUUGUCCAUUUGCACUUGCCCUGGGCUGUGUGAUGAUACGGAACAAGACGGACGACUGGACGUUUCAUAAGACAGCUGAGUCCCAGUUACCUGUUCGGCCUGUGAGUUGUGUCUCAUUAGUAAUAAGUAAAGCAAUGGGCAGCUCCUGGAGAGACGGCGGGCUGCGUAAUUACUAAGACAACGUCUCUAGAAACAACCAGGAUAUAUUAGAGCAGACAUGGCCAGGUCAUCGCCCUGUCUAGAAAGGCUUUUCUGUGAGAGAUUCCAUUCCUGACUGAGAUGGGAUGGGGAGCAGCCCCAGCACCUCUCCCUGUCCGAGGAAACCCAGGACUCUUUGAAGAACUCGACAUGGUGCCCUGGAUUUGACUCCACAUUUAUAGGCAUGAGGUCUUUUUACUUUUAAAAAGGGAAACAAGAAGAGAACUAAUAUUUAGCUUUGUAUUGUUACACUAUUUUCCAAUAUUUUAUAUUUUGUAAUUUUUCUAUUGUCAUAAUUAUGCUUGUACAAAAGAAAUACACUGAAUAAGCAACAAAUAAUUGGACAAAACCUACAAGAUGUACCAUAGUCUGCAUGUUAAGAUAUAAUUCUAUAGAUCAAGUUUAACUUGAGACUAUUUCAAUCUAUAAUUAUGUGGAUAAUUCAAUACCUAUAGUCACUUUUUUGUUAUUAUAGCUAGAAAAAAGCAGCAAAUAUUGUAAAUUAAAAGUAGAAGACAUGGAUUAUCACCUCAAUUAACAAUUAAUCAACAAUAUAACCUGGGACAAUUUAUUCCUCUGAAAUUGAAUUUUUCUCAACUUGAAAAUUUAGGACUUGGACUGGGAGGAUUUUCCAGUCUAAAGUUGUUUGAUACCGAAUUUACAGCUUCACUCAGACCUGUGUCUCCCUCCUCUUAUUCACUUACUCUCCUGCAUCCUGGUAAUGAACAUUCAGGCAACAGAAGUCACAGGAAGAUAUUUCUAGUUGUAACAAAGUGCUAAUUUUUCUGAAUAGGAUGAAUUUUUGCUGUAUGAAAUCAGUGAG